GUGCAGGCGGUGGCUGCCCGCCGGCCUUUUCCGAGGAUGUCAGCGUCAUCCGUGAGGCGUAGCGGGGAGAGGAUGGUUGGAGAAUUCGAGGACUUCCCAGGAAGGGUUAGGGGUGCUGCUCCACGCUGGGACCCUCCUCAAGGGCUGGGUGUGGGCACCAUGAAGCAGAUUGGACCUGAAAGAUGACUGCUCCCGGCAGGAACCUUUUUUCAAGCUCAGCUUCAUGAGAUGCCCCAAAUGCUGGCAGGAGGAACACUAGCCGGGCAGUCACCAGAAGCCAAAAGUUCAAUGACUUCAUCUUUGGGCCCGCUGGUGAUUGAACUAUUUACAGAAGUAGAUGGCAUUGGUGUGAUGAAAUAAAAUCUGCUUUGGAGGGGGACGCAUGUCCCCAGCCACUCACACUUAGGCUCUGCUCUCCCAGAAUGACCACGAGCACUGGAAAGCCUGCAGUUCACUCUAAAAGAGGACUUCUGGCCAGUGAUUAACUUGGCAAGGGGCAGUGUUAUUUGGUAUUUGACAAAGGCCUUAAAAGUAAAACUGGAGCGAAAGGAGAUUGAAUGGGAAAGCUGGGAAUCAGGUCAUCACGACACUGCUCAGUUUGAAGCACUGUGACACAGCAGAGCUGUCCCACUGGCAACGGGCAUGGCCUUUGGUGUGCUCAUACCUCCCAGGAUCUGAGUGCCCGGACCCGUAGAUGCAGUGUGGAUCCCUCCCAGCCAGCAGAAGUGGUUCCCAUUUCCACUGCCAGGGACAGUGACUCUUGUAAAGUUAAUUAAUCUCUUCAU